CCCUGCCAUUUGUACACACCGCCCGUCGCUCCUACCGAUUGAAUGGUCCGGUGAAGUGUUAGGAUCGCGGCGACGUGGGCGGUUCGCUGCCUGCGACGUCGCGAGAAUUCCACUGAACCUUAUCAUUUAGAGGAAGGAGAAGUCGUAACA
rnacentral:rRNA from 1 species